rnacentral:rRNA from 1 species
GUUUGAUCCUGGCUCAGGAUGAACGCUGGCGGCGUGCUUAACACAUGCAAGUCGAACGAACCUUCGGGUUAGUGGCGGACGGGUGAGUAACGCGUGGGAAUCUGCCCUCAGGAGGGGGAUAACGGUUGGAAACGGCCGCUAAUACCCCAUAUGCCGAGAGGUGAAAUGAAUUUCGCCUGAGGAUGAGCCCGCGUCUGAUUAGCUAGUUGGUGAGGUAAGAGCUCACCAAGGCAUCGAUCAGUAGCUGGUCUGAGAGGAUGAUCAGCCACACUGGGACUGAGACACGGCCCAGACUCCUACGGGAGGCAGCAGUGGGGAAUUUUCCGCAAUGGGCGAAAGCCUGACGGAGCAACGCCGCGUGAGGGAUGAAGGCCUCUGGGCUGUAAACCUCUUUUAUCAAGGAAGAAGAUCUGACGGUACUUGAUGAAUAAGCCACGGCUAAUUCCGUGCCAGCAGCCGCGGUAAUACGGGAGUGGCAAGCGUUAUCCGGAAUUAUUGGGCGUAAAGCGUCCGCAGGCGGCCCUACAAGUCUGCUGUUAAAAAGUGGAGCUUGACUCCAUCAUGGCAGUGGAAACUGUUGGGCUUGAGUGUGGUAGGGGCAGAGGGAAUUCCCGGUGUAGCGGUGAAAUGCGUAGAUAUCGGGAAGAACACCAGUGGCGAAGGCGCUCUGCUGGGCCAUCACUGACGCUCAUGGACGAAAGCCAGGGGAGCGAAAGGGAUUAGAUACCCCUGUAGUCCUGGCCGUAAACGAUGAACACUAGGUGUCGGGGGAAUCGACCCCUCCGGUGUCGUAGCCAACGCGUUAAGUGUUCCGCCUGGGGAGUACGCACGCAAGUGUGAAACUCAAAGGAAUUGACGGGGGCCCGCACAAGCGGUGGAGUAUGUGGUUUAAUUCGAUGCAACGCGAAGAACCUUACCAGGGUUUGACAUCCUGCGAAUCUCUUGGAAACUUGAGAGUGCCUUCGGGAGCGCAGUGACAGGUGGUGCAUGGCUGUCGUCAGCUCGUGUCGUGAGAUGUUGGGUUAAGUCCCGCAACGAGCGCAACCCACGUCUUUAGUUGCCAGCAUUUAGUUGGGCACUCUAGAGAGACCGCCGGUGAUAAACCGGAGGAAGGUGUGGAUGGCGUCAAGUCAUCAUGCCCCUUACAUCCUGGGCUACACACGUACUACAAUGCUACGGACAAAGGGCAGCAAGUUCGCGAGGACAAGCAAAUCCCAUAAACCGUGGCUCAGUUCAGAUCGUAGGCUGCAACUCGCCUACGUGAAGGAGGAAUCGCUAGUAAUCGCAGGUCAGCAUACUGCGGUGAAUACGUUCCCGGGCCUUGUACACACCGCCCGUCACACCAUGGAAGUUGGCCACGCCCGAAGCCGUUACUCCAACCCUUGUGGAGGAGGACGUCGAAGGUGGGGCUGAUGACUGGGGUGAAGUCGUAACAAGGUAGCCG